AUGGGCGCCAACGGGCACCCGCCGCCCGCCAGCGCCGCCGCCCAGAACGGGUCCCACUCUAGCGGCGGCGGCGGCGGCGGAGGAGGAGCAAACCCUAGCUCCGGCGGCACGGCGGCGGCGCUCCGGCACGACCCGGGCCUGUCCCGGGAGUGGACGCCGGAGGAGCAGGCCAUCCUCGACGAGCUGCUCGUCAAGUAUGCAUCUGAUGCGCCUGUUAUUCGGUAUGCAAAAAUAGCCAUAAAGUUGCCAGAGAAAACAGUUCGAGAUGUGGCUUUGCGGUGUAGAUGGAUGAGUAAAAAGGAGAGUGGUAAAAGAAAGAAAGAGGACCACAGCUCAUCAAAGAAAAGCAAGGACAAAAAGGAGAAGGUUGCAGAUUCUUCAUCGAAACCACCUGUUCAUAUAGCUGGAAGGCCGAGUGUUCCGCCAUACUCCCUUCCAGCACUUCCCAUUGAUGAUGACGAAAUUUCAUCCAAAGCAAUUGGAGGUCCAACAGGAGAACUCCUUGAAACUAACGCCCAGGUUUUAAGUCAAAUUUCAACAAACCUUGGCACCAUGCAGAUACAGGAUAACAUCUCUCUGCUGUGCCAAACUCGAGAUAACAUACUCAGGGUGUUGAAAGAGAUGAAUGAUGCCCCAGAGAUCAUGAAGCAGAUGCCACCACUACCCGUGAAGAUAAACGAGGAGCUUGUCAACUCCAUACUCCCCAGGCCAACUGUACCUAUGCAGUAG
rnacentral:rRNA from 1 species